GAGUACCUCGACUUCCAAGAAUUUCGCACGAUUCCAGGAAAACAGGAACCACCAGAAGGAGUAUCUCGAUUUCCCAGAAUUCUCUUCGUUUAUUCAACGGCAACCUUGUGGUAAAAGAAAACCUUCAAAAAGGCUGAGGAUGUAAAGGAUAAUAACGAUCCUCACACGGCCAAGGUUCAAAACGGAAAAGGUACGAAAAAUCGAGGUGCGCCAGUCAGCAAGGCUUGGCUAUCGAAAAUUGUGGGACCAGAGUUGCUUGGAAAUACCUAUCAAACUCGUCUUUUUAGUGUUGGAAAUUGGGAAAUUAUUUGAACUUUGCUCUGCUAUUAUAAUUCCUGGCGGCAACUUUAAAUCCUGGCAAAAUUUUUAAAUUGUGGUGGAAAAUUUAAAAGUUGACAAUAUAAACGACAAGCGCCCUACAAACUUCUUGGCCGUUUUAAACAGAGACUUCUCGAUUGCCUUGACUUAUAGUGGUGAUUAAUUGGUAAACCCGGUAUGUAAGUAGAGUGGAUCCUAAUUGGAGGUGUCUUGCGUCUAUAGAUUUCUUGGCCGUUCUUAACAAAGACUUCUCGAUUGCAAUUGAUUACAGGCGUGGGACUGCCCACUUGUGCACUUCAGCAGAGGGCUGCACUGUUGUAUGUUUGUAUUUGUGAUACAUGGUGCACUGAGAAAAGCUGAUGAAACUGCCGACGAUCCCGAUUGUGCGCUUUAUGGACUUUUUCCAGGAAAACUGAAGCCACGAGAAGGAGUAACUCGACUUCUGAGAAGUUUCUUCGAAGCUGAUGAUCACGUUGAUGCGCUUUAGAGACUUUUUCCCAGGAAAACUGUAACCACUGGAAGGAGUACCCCGAGUUCCUAGGAAUUUCCAUAAUGCUGACGAUCCCGUUUUUGCGCUUUAGGGACUUUUACCCAGGAAAACUGAAGUCAAGAGAAGGAGUACCUCGACUUCCAAGAAUUUCGCACGAUUCCAGGAAAACAGGAACCACCAGAAGGAGUAUCUCGAUUUCCCAGAAUUCUCUUCGUUUAUUCAACGGCAACCUUGUGGUAAAAGAAAACCUUCAAAAAGGCUGAGGAUGUAAAGGAUAAUAACGAUCCUCACACGGCCAAGGUUCAAAACGGAAAAGGUACGAAAAAUCGAGGUGCGCCAGUCAGCAAGGCUUGGCUAUCGAAAAUUGUGGGACCAGAGUUGCUUGGGAAUACCUAUCAAACUCGUCUUUUUAGUGUUGGAAAUUGGGAAAUUAUUUGAACUUUGCUCUGCUAUUAUAAUUCCUGGCGGCAACUUUAAAUCCUGGCAAAAUUUUUAAAUUGUGGUGGAAAAUUUAAAAGUAGACAGUAUAAACGACAAGCGCCCUACAAACUUCUUGGCCGUUUUAAACAGAGACUUCUCGAUUGCCUUGACUUAUAGUGGUGAUUAAUUGGUAAACCCGGUAUGUAAGUGGAGUGGAUCCUAAUUGGAGGUGUCUUGCGUCUAUAGAUUUCUUGGCCGUUCUUAACAAAGACUUCUCGAUUGCGCGUGGGACUGCCCACUUGUGCACUUCAGCAGAGGGCUGCACUGUUGUAUGUUUGUAUUUGUGAUACAUGGUGCACUGAGAAAAGCUGAUGAAACUGCCGACGAUCCCGAUUGUGCGCUUUAUGGACUUUUUCCAGGAAAACUGAAGCCACGAGAAGGAGUAACUCGACUUCUGAGAAGUUUCUUCGAAGCUGAUGAUCACGUUGAUGCGCUUUAGAGACUUUUUCCAGGAAAACUGUAACCACUGGAAAGAGUACCCCGAGUUCCUAGAAUUUUCCACAAUGCUGACGAUCACCUUGAUGCGCUUUAGGGACUUUUUCCAGGAAAUCUGGAACCACUAGAAGGAGUGCCUCGACUUUAAAGAAAUUUCCACAAUGCUGACGAUCCCCUUUUUGCGCUUUAGGGACUUUUUCCCAGGAAAACUGAAGUCAAGAGAAGGAGUACCUCGACUUCCAAGAAUUUCGCACGAUUCGAGGAAAACAGAAACCACCAGAAGGAGUAUCUCGAUUUCCAAGAAUUCUCUUCGUUUAUUCAACGGCAACCUUGUGGUGAAAGAAAACCUUCAAAAAGGCUGAGAAUGUCUGAUAUUUUUCACGAUUUGGCUUUGGUAGAAAUCUGAGUUUGAUUCAAACACUGAUGAAAAUAUCUUCAAGUAAUAACGAUCCUCACACGGCCAAGGAUCAAAACGGAAAAGGAACGAAAAAUCGAGAUGCGCCAGUCAGCAAGUCUUGGCUAUCGAAAAUUGUGGUAUCAGAGUUGCUUAAAAAUACCUAUCGAAAUUGUCUUUUUAGUGCUGGUAAUCGGAAAAUUUUUUGAACUUUGCUCUGCUAUUUUAAUUCGGCAACUUCAAUUCCUGGCGGAAUUUUUAAAUUGUGGUGGAAAAUUUAAAAGCUGACAAUAUAAACGACAAGCGCUCUACAAAAUA